GACCCCGCACAAGCGGUGGAUCAUGUUCUUUAAUUCGACGAUACGCGAAGAACCUUACCAGGUCUUGACAUCCCCUGCAAGAGCUUAGAGAUAAGCUGGAGGUUAUCAGGGAGACAGGUGGUGCAUGGUUGUCGUCAGCUCGUGUCGUGAGAUGUUGGGUUAAGUCCCGCAACGAGCGCAACCCUUAUUGCUAGUUACCAUCAUUAAGUUGGGGACUUUAGCGAGACUGCCAGUGACAAACUGGAGGAAGGUGGGGAUGACGUCAAAUCAUCAUGCCCCUUAUGACCUGGGCUAGAAACGUGAUACAAUGGCUGAAACAAAGGGAAGCAAAAGAGUGAUCUGGAGCGAAACCCAAAAAAGCAGUCUCAGUUCGGAUUGAAGUCUGCAAUUCGACUUCAUGAAGCAGGAAUCGCUAGUAAUCGCAGAUCAGAACGCUGCGGUGAAUACGUUCUCGGGGUUU
rnacentral:rRNA from 1 species